CCGGCAAACGGGUGCGGAACACGUACGCAACCUUCCUUUAACUGGAGAAUAGCCCCUCGAAAGAGGGAUUAAUACUCCGUAACAUAUUGAUAAGGCAUCUUAUUAAUAUUAUAGCUCCGGCGGUUAAAGAUGGGCGUGCGCCUGAUUAGAUAGUUGGCGGGGUAACGGCCCACCAAGUCUGCGAUCAGUAACUGGUGUGAGAGCACGACCAGUCACACGGGCACUGAGACACGGGCCCG
rnacentral:rRNA from 1 species